CCUUGCUUGACACAUCAGCUUCUGUAUUGAAGUAGGUGUUGACACCUACCUCAGUAAAAAUCAACUACCUAUCAAAUUAUAACAUUAAUACAGUUCAUCUCAAUUUAGUCAUACGUGUCAUGUACUAAAGAAAAUUGAAGCAAACCGUGUUUUGUCUUUCUGCUUUUUCGUCGUCGUUUUUCUAUUUUUCAAUUUGUUCUUCUUCUCCGUCGCCGAUUUGCUUUCGUCUAACCCAACUGCUGCGAGAGAGAGAUACACUAUCCCCACAAGCAAACCCCCUUCUCCAUCAUCAUCAUCAUCUUCUCUAAGGUCAGCUUCCCCAUUUGAUUUCUCUUCUUCGAUUUCGUUAUGAUUUACUGUUUCACCAUCUCUUUGAUUUUCGGAUCCGUUUUUCUCUAAUUCCCCCCCCACCACCCUAGGGUUCUUCUUCUCUGCUCUCUCAAUUAAAACUUGUGUCCAAUCAAAUUAAGAGAAUUAAUACAGCUGGAGCAUUCUGUUUUCUUUUUUUUUUUUGCUUUUGUUUUUGUUUAUCUUUGGUGAAUACGACUGUUUUCUUUUCGAGAAUGUUUGAUUCGGUCGUCGUGGUUCUUUUGUUUUCAAUUCGAUCGUCGUGGUUCUAGGGUGUGGAGUAAAGGUUAUAGAUUUAUUGGUUGUUAUUGUAUUUUUAGGGUUCUAACGAGUUAGCUAAAUUAGUAUGAAGAAACCCUUUCUGCUAAUUGAAAUUCCCUAACCUUUUUGUAUGAAUGAUUGCGUUUAGAUACUUUUAUAAUGAUUUGCUUAUCUGAUGCAAUAUGAACCAUUUGGAUAUCAAAACAUUCUCGUGGAAUGAUUAUGGUAUUUAAUAAGGAUGCUUGUGGAUACUUAAGGUCUCUUUGUUAGAAGGUAUAACCUAUAGCGGAAGACAAGUCUGUUUUGUUCCUUUUUGUUUUUGUUUAAGGGUUUCAGGUAUUACUUGGAGAUGCUGGGGCUGGAAAAUCAAGUCUUGUGCUGUGUUUGUUAAAGAUCAGUUUGUUGAAUUCCAGCUUUUUUCUCUCAAACACUGGCUGUAAACGAUGCCACUGUGAAGUUUGAGAUUUGGGAUACAGCUGAUCAAGUACGAAACUCACAGUCCCAUGCUUUAGUCCUAAAUAAGUAAAUGGAUUUGCUGAUCAACGGUGGACUUCAAUGUUUUAAGGCUUGGAGAAGAAAAGCUUAGGUUUGCUUAACUCUUGUUUUCUAUUGUCACAAGCCUCAUUUAAGAGGGCGAAGAAAUGGGUCCAGGAACUGCAGGCACAAGGUAUUGAAUGGCUGAACUUGGUUUUCCGAGAAAAAUAUCUGGACAAGAACAGAAUGUGGUUUGAUUUCAUAAUAACUCAAUUUUAUCUUAUGCUUCUAAUUUGAUUUAUAAUUCGAUUUCAACGCAUAAUUAUAUUUUGCCUAUUUCUCCGAUUCUCAAUGCCUGUUUUAAACUUCAAUCAUCUUCCGUCUCUUCACCGUGGUGUUUUGUCCAAUUGCUUCUCAAACAAUGGCAUUCAAGCAUGACUCUUACAAGCCCUUUGGUGGAUUUGUGUUGUUGUUGUUUUGAACUUUAGGAAUUUAAAAGUUGAAAGUUUUUUUAUUUAAGCCAAAACCUGUCAAUUCGUCUAUGGU